rnacentral:rRNA from 1 species
CAGCCGUAAACUAUGCGCGUUAGGUGUAUCGGUGACCACGAGUUACCGAGGUGCCGAAGGGAAACCGUGAAACGUGCCGCCUGGGAAGUACGGUCGCAAGGCUGAAACUUAAAGGAAUUGGCGGGGGAGCACCACAACAGGUGGAGCCUGCGGUUUAAUUUGGACUCAACGCCGGGAGCUCACCGGAUAGGACAGCAGAAUGAUUGCCGGGCUGAAGACCCUGCAUGACUAGCUGAGAGGUGGUGCAUGGCGUCAGUGACU